CCUUAUUAUGAUGUUGGUAGGCAUGUUAAAUUGUGAGCUCACCCAUGUCAUGAUCCUGUGAAUUUUUUCUGUUUGUAUUUCACAAGAUGAUUCCUUCAAGUCUGGUGAGUUUUCUUUGAUGGUUUCCUUGAUUUUUGUAUCCAAAUACUUUUUAAAGUUCCAUAAAAUGGCAACAAUCCUAAGACUGCUGUGUAAUGAACACAGAAAACCCACAGAACCCAUGUGGGUCAGAGAUCACCUACAGGACGUCUGUCAGGAGCCAAGGGACUAAGCUGGCCCAGAGAACUUCCUGCCUGUUGGCAGAGAGGACUGGUGACUUUAGGAAAAAGUACUUAUUUCCUAUGCCCAAAGGACUCAGAGAUCUGGUCUGGGAUCUUCAAGAUGUUACCCAGAGUCACAAGGAACUAUGAGCUCCAUUUUAUAGAUGAGGAAACUGAUGCCCACCAGUGGGGAACUGACUUGUCCAAGAGUAUAUAGCUGGUGACUUUCAGAGGUCUUCAUGCCCAGGACUUCCCACUCCAAGUCUAACUUCUAUUUCCUACCUAUGCUGAAUGGAGCCACUCACCACUACAAGAAGGAAGGAAACAAGUAAUUAUACUAUAUGACAAGCAUUAUGCAAUUAUCUCAUUUGAUUCUCACAACAACCCUAGAAAGUGAGCAUUAUUACUAAUCCCUAUUUUAUAGUUGAGAGAAGUGAGGCAAACAAAAGUUAAGUGCCUUGCCCAGGAACACACAAUUCAAGUGUCUGAGACUGGAUUUGAAUUCAGGUCUUCCUGACUUUAGCCUAGAACUCUAUCCAGUGAGCUAUCUACCUGAAUGACAGGAAAAAUGAGUCAUUUUGUAAAAAUGAGAAAACUGUUUUUCCCCAGUGACUAACUUUAUUUGCAGUAGGAAUAUGCAUUGAAAGUUACCCUAUUCUGAAUUCCAGGAAGACUGCCUUACUGCAGACAUUCAGACAAAGACUGGGUGCCAACUGGUAUUUUUGUGAUGUGGAAGGGAUUCUCACUCUGGCAUGCCUUGUACUCAAUGAUCCCUAAGGUCCUUCCAGCCUUGACUCUCCAUGAAUCAGCAAGUCAAUCACUAGUUCCUAUAGUCCUAGGUCUUGGCUGGAGGAACCGAGCCAUAACUAGCAAUCUUAGUAC
rnacentral:lncRNA from 1 species